GGAAUCUUCGGCAAUGGACGAAAGUCUGACCGAGCAACGCCGCGUGAGUGAGGAAGGUUUUCGGAUCGUAAAACUCUGUUGGUAGAGAAGAACGUUGGUGAGAGUGGAAAGCUCAUCAAGUGACGGUAACUACCCAGAAAGGGACGGCUAACUACGUGCCAG
rnacentral:rRNA from 1 species